CGGGGUCUAACAACACAUAAACAUCAACGUGAAAGAUGUAGAGCAUACCGGUAACAACAUUAGGGGAAUCCUCCUACUCUUGAUGGGAUGGUAAGGCAUAGAACCUGUUUUGGCACUGACCACCAGCAUUACUGGAAAAAGUGCUCGGAGGAGGAGCUGGACGGGCUAAAAGAGCUGGGGCACUAUUAGCCUGAGUCUGAGGUCGCAUAUAUUUGUUCCCC
rnacentral:lncRNA from 1 species